CCCCUUCCAGCAUCCCUUCUUCAUUGAAAAUGCCCUUCCCCUCUCUGCCCUAUUCUUUUCCAACGACCUUCACGCCAAUGAUUGACAAAGCUCUCACCCCUACCAGCGACGAUCAAUGCCCUUCGAGGACCCAGCAGCAGCGCCAUAUAUCUAGUUUCGAGUUUAGUCAAAACGCAGGAGGAAAAGGAGCAACGACAGUGUUCUUCCUUGGCUAUUUUCAGCAUCUCUAGCCUUCAUCCGGUCACACCACUGGUCCCGCUCAACAAGUCUUGGCCAGGGAAGAAAUUCUUCCCAGCAGUAACUUCGAUGGCCAUCGAUUUCACACAAAAUGAGGAAAGAGAAGGAAAUGGGUUUUGGGGACUUUUCAGUCAAAUUCCGGCUAAUUUAGCCAUCAUUCGGAAAAUUCGAGACAUCGAUGGAAUACCCUUAGUUGUCGUUUUGAAAAACUAAAAAUAUCACUACAAUUGACGUAUUUUGAGCUCUGUGUAGGUAUCUUUAGAUUGGCAAUAGCCUUCUGGCAAUGGGAUUGUGUUUCCAGCCAUGCUAGAGAACUUGGUGGACUCUCCCGAAAGGUAAUUGCAAUGGAUCACAACAUUUUCAAAUUUUUCGGAUGCCUUCUGAGUGGCAGAAUUAAUAUAGGUAAAUCUCAAAUAAGAAUGGCAAUGGGUCAAGUUUCUAUGGAUACCCGAUUCGAUGAGAUUUUAAGAGGCGAAUUUGAGUAGUAUAUAAUUGAAUUUUGGGACAAGCUUAGAUUUGAAAUUUAAUAUCCG
rnacentral:misc_RNA from 1 species